rnacentral:lncRNA from 1 species
UCAGAUAGCACCUUGUUAUUCAAUAGUUUGUCUGUCCAAUCAUUGAGUCCCAUAUCAUUUUGAUACAAAAAAAUAAUAAUAUUCUCAAAGAGCAUCUAGAACAGCACAACGUUGCUAGUUUGAGGAAAAAGUACUUAAUAAUGUUUCGUCAAAUUAAUAUAUUGAUUAUACUAGCUUGUUAUGCAUCAAUUCCAUUAAAUGAUUAAUACAAUAUGGCAAUGUUUUUCCCCUAAAACAAUACAUCUAGUAUCAAAUGAUUAAUAUAAUUGGGGAAUGAUUUUCUCAUAAAACAAUACAUCUAGCAGAACAUUGUGAAGACUAAUAAAGUUUGAUUAUCAAAGUGAUGAAGUGGCAGGUACCCUCACUCUCUACCUAUUUACAUACUACUGCUAGAGCUUGGAGUCAUGAAUUAAUUUUUUGAAUGAGAUUGAGGGGGUAGGGGAUAUUUAUAGUGUAGAGGAAGAGUAGAGGCUACUCCAUGUGCUCCACAUCCAACACCUUUGGAUCAAGCCGUCUUAAAUUGUAUGGUGGAGAUCAUCUAACUUUGUGUUUCUUUGCAUGCGGGCAUACAAGAGGCUGUGGAGCUUUAAGGGUAGUCGCCCGACCACCUUUGGGGGGAGGCGGAGUUUCACCGACCAUGACAGGUGGGCCAGACUCCAAGGGUGGGGUGCUUCUCGUCAUCUUCAUGUGUGGAUAUUCUCUAGUGGGGCCACUAAAUUUGUGCAAUGAGUGAUAUGUAGGCCCUUUAAUCCGUGUGCUUCGCUUGUGAACCAUCUAGAGAGAACACAAUAUCCAUCCAAGGGUUGAUACUGCUUGGGGGUUUGAUGGAUCACCAAGUCUUGUGGAAGGGUUGAGAAGCUACCGAGCCACUAUGAGUGGGUCGAUCGAUGGCCCUAAGUGCGCCUACUACCAUGGCUUUUGUCCAUUUUGAAGUACAUGACAUGUACAACUACGGAACCAUGUUAUUUGUACAAAAAUUACUAUUGCUAUGCUUGUU